rfam:Brassica napus, WGS project CCCW01000000 data, contig: 4494
GCUGUUGAGGAAAUCCAAGUUUGCGAGGAGUAGUGGAGCUGAGACCCUGUUUUCAGGGAGAACCCCUUGGCAGAAACUGCAAUUCUAUGAAGUUUAUGGAUUAACUGAGGC